CUAACGACUCUCGGCAACGGAUAUCUCGGCUCUCGCAUCGAUGAAGAACGUAGCGAAAUGCGAUACUUGGUGUGAAUUGCAGAAUCCCGUGAACCAUCGAGUCUUUGAACGCAAGUUGCGCCCGAUGUCUUCUGGCUGAGGGCACGUCUGUUUGGGCGUCACGC
rnacentral:rRNA from 2 species